CAGUCGCCGCGGUAAUACGUAGGUGGCAAGCGUUGUCCGGAAUUAUUGGGCGUAAAGGGCUCGCAGGCGGUUUCUUAAGCCUGAUGUGAAAGCCCCCGGCUCAACCGGGGAGGGUCAUUGGAAACUGGGAAACUUGAGUGCAGAAGAGGAGAGUGGAAUUCCACGUGUAGCGGUGAAAUGCGUAGAGAUGUGGAGGAACACCAGUGGCGAAGGCGACUCUCUGGUCUGUAACUGACGCUGAGGAGCGAAAGCGUGGGGAGCGAACAGGAUUAGAUACCCGCGUAGUCCCUGUCUCUUAUAA
rnacentral:rRNA from 1 species